rnacentral:rRNA from 1 species
UACGGGGGGGGCAAGCGUUGUUCGGAAUUACUGGGCGUAAAGGGCUCGUAGGCGGCCAACUAAGUUGGAUGUGAAAUCCCCAGGCUUAACCUGGGAACUGCAUCCGAUACUGGAUGGCUUGAAUUCGGGAGAGGGAUGCAGAAUUCCAGGUGUAGCGGUGAAAUGCGCAGAUAUCAGGAAGAACACCCGUGGCGAAAGCGGCUCUCUGGAACGGUACUGACGCUGAGACGCGAAAGCGUGGGGAGCGAACAGG